GAUGAACGCUGGCGGCGUGCCUAAUACAUGCAAGUCGAACGCUGGAAAUCUAGCUUGCUAGAUUGAAGGAGUGGCGAACGGGUGAGUAAUACAUAAGCAACCUACCCACGAAGACUGGGAUAAUCUCUGGAAACGGGGACUAAUACCGGAUAGGUAAUCGGAAGGCAUCUUCUGAUUAUUAAAGGUUAAAAACACUGGUGGAUGGGCUUAUGGCGCAUUAGUUAGUUGGUGAGGUAACGGCCCACCAAGACGAUGAUGCGUAGCCGGCCUGAGAGGGUGAACGGCCACAUUGGGACUGAGACACGGCCCAGACUCCUACGGGAGGCAGUAGUAGGGAAUUUUCGGCAAUGGGGGAAACCCUGACCGAGCAACGCCGCGUGAGUGAUGACGGCCUUCGGGUUGUAAAGCUCUGUUGUAAGGGAAGAACGGUAGAUAGAGAAUAUCUAAAUGACGGUACCUUACCAGAAAGCCACGGCUAACUACGUG
rnacentral:rRNA from 1 species